rnacentral:misc_RNA from 1 species
GAAAUGCGAUAAGUAAUGUGAAUUGCAGAAUUCAGUGAAUCAUCGAAUCUUUGAACGCACAUUGCGCCCGCCAGUAUUCUGGCGGGCAUGCCAGUCCGAGCGUCAUUUCAACCAUCAAGCCCCCGGGCUUGUGUUGGGGACCUGCGGCUGCCCGCAGGCCCUGAAAACCAGUGGCGGGCUCGCUGUCACACCGAGCGUAGUAGCAAUCACCUCGCUCAGGGCGUGCUGCGGGUUCCGGCCGUUAAACAGCCUUACAAAACCCAAGGUUGACCUCGGAUCAGGUAGGAAGACCCGCUGAACUUAAGC